GACGAACGCUGGCGGCGUGCUUAACACAUGCAAGUCGAACGAUGAAGCGCUGUCUUUUUGGUGGUGUGGAUUAGUGGCGAACGGGUGAGUAAUACGCGGGCAACCUGCCCCUCUGCUUCGGGAUAAGCUUUGGAAACGGGGUCUAAUACCGGAUGUGCCUGUCUGGUCGCAUGGCUGGGCGGGGAAAGAUGUUUUUCGGCGGGGGAUGGGCUCUCGGCCUAUCAGCUUGUUGGUGGGGUGACGGCCUACCAAGGCGUCGACGGGUAGCCGGCCUGGGGGGGUGGGCGGCUACACUAGGACUGAGAUACGGCCCAGACUUCUACGGGGGGCCGCGUGGGGGAUAUUGCACAUGGGCGCAAGCCUGAUGAGGCGACGCGCGGGGGGGAUUGGAGGCUUUUGGUUUUAAACCCCUUUCGGGGCGGGACAAGGGUCCGUUUGGGGGGUUUGAGGGAACCCCCAAAGAAGCGGCCGGUUACUACGUGCCAGCAGCCGCCGGUAAAAACGUAGGGGGGCCGGGGGUUUUCCGGAAUUUUUUGGGCGUAAAAGGGGUUCCUAGGCGGGUUUUUCGCGUCUUUCUGUAAAAAACCGGGGGUUCAACUCCCCCCCGUCAGGAGGAACGGGAGGCUGGAGUUCCCCGGGGUGGCUGAAUAUCCCGGGUAACGGGGGAAAUGCCCGAUUUCUGGAAGAAAACCCGAUGGCGAAGGCGGCCACUGGGCCGUCACUGAACCUUAGGAAGCGAAAAAGUUGGGGGGCAAACAGGGAUAGAACCCCCGGGUAGUCCAGGGGGGAAAUCCACAUUUGGGUGUCCCCCCGGGGGGAGCCACAUGUUCUGGAGCGGCCCCCCCCGCGGGACCUUCCAAAAUUCGCCCUAUAGGGGGGGUCGAUAACCCGCGCCUACUGGGCCGUGGUUUUUUCAAAAG
rnacentral:rRNA from 1 species